UCCCAGUGUGAUUCUUAGGCAUCUCAGGGCAGAAAGGUGAGCUCUCUAAGUUAGGUGCUGUUACCCAAAGUGGCCUGUAGUGCCCCUAGGGAUAUGUGCUGUUCCAGGAGCAGAUAUCAGAGAGCGGAGGUGAAUGAGGAGCCUAGGGAUGGAUACCCCAGCAUCCCCCUGGAGGCCACCUCGAGUCAUAAACCAACUAAGAUGAUGGCAGAAGGGAAACUAGCAAGAUACACGAGGCAUUCCUUGGGGGUGAAGAAGGCAUGGUUACCUCGGACCAUUUUUUAAAGCUGGUUCUCUUUGAGCAAAUGUGACUCUGUGCACCUCACCACCACAGCAAGUCUCACAGAUGCCUGUGUUGCUUGAGAGCUCAUGGACGCCGGCCAGCAUUAUUUAAGUUUUCAUUCAAAGUCUCCUUUAGGGUGACUUCUGUGCACCUGAAGUGCCCGUUCAAGAAGAUCAACAAAUGGCUGAAGACAGAUUUUUCAGCCAGAGGAAAGAAUUAUUACCUUACCAUCAGUCUAAUGAAAACAGAGGUGAAAUACCAACCUGCACCAGAUAAACAGCACACCAAGCCAUCCAUCACGCUCAGCCGCACUAAGCAGAGCACCCUAACUGAUUUCACCUGAUUUCCUGCUUCACGCAGACGGCCGUUCACGGCAUCAGAGAGCUGGGA
rnacentral:lncRNA from 1 species